GUUGAAACCCUGGUUCCUAUACGGUCAUCGAAGUUAAGCAUCAUCAAGCCUGGUCAGUAUCUAGAUGGGUGACCACUUGGGAAUACAAGAUGCUGUAAG